GCUGUCAGCAGUGGACUCUAACCCAAGGCAGAAUGAGUUGGCUUAAACUGGGGAAGAAAAUACAAAAGUGUCUAGGAAAAGGAAAGCUUUUAUAAAAGACGGAACAUUUAACAGGCUUCGUUCCCACGGGCCCUGCCCAGAAGAUGGAAAUAGCUCUGCAGAAAGGGCUGGACGCAUACGCUGCCCUUGGCCACCAGAGGGCGCCAGACCCACCUGCACGGGUACACUGCGGAACGACCUGGGAAGCUCGAGCCAUCCUCCCCAACGCAGCACGCCAGAGAAAGGAACUGGAACACCGCAGGCCAGUGUUUCCAAACCAGCACCUGGCUCCCAGCAUGUUCACUAACCCAGGUCCUGGGGGCUUUUAAAAGGAAUGGCAGGCUGUGGCCAACUCAAGAGCAGGAGCCAUGUCUUCGUAAGCACACUGAGUAUCAGACCCAUGGUGGAUGAGCGACAAAUGUUUGUGACAUAAUGUGUUUAUUCAUUCAUUUAUUCAUUUUUGCAUGCACUCAAUAAAUGAAGAUGAUGACUGACAGGAAGGUAUAGAAUUGGCAGAGAAGAGGAAUUACUUAGGAAGAGGGGAAAGAGAAUAGGAGGAGACAGAAUCAAAAGUAGGGGAGGGCCGGCCAAGUGGCUCAGUUGGUUAAGAGCAGUAGUGCUGCUGGUUCAAAUAUCAUAUGGGCCAGUGAACUGCACUUAAGCUGCCAACAGGUGGCAGGAUGGCUCAGCUGGUG